rnacentral:rRNA from 1 species
UACGGAGGGUGCAAGCGUUAUCCGGAAUCAUUGGGUUUAAAGGGUGCGCAGGCGGAAUUUUAAGUCAGUGGUGAAAUCCCUUCGCUCAACGAAGGAACUGCCAUUGAUACUGAAAUUCUUGAAUUUGGUUGGCGUGGGCGGAAUGUGCCAUGUAGCGGUGAAAUGCUUAGAUAUGGCACAGAACACCGAUCGCGAAGGCAGCUCACGAAACCAUUAUUGACGCUCAGGCACGAAAGCAUGGGGAGCAAACAGG